rnacentral:tRNA from 4 species
GGAGGGUUAGCUCAGCUGGUUAGAGCGUCCGCCUCACACGCGGAAGGUCGACGGUUCGAGUCCGCCACUCUCCACCA